rnacentral:pre_miRNA from 1 species
UGGGUUUGUCCUAAAUCAAACUUGUGUAACUUUGACCAACUUUUAGAAAAAUAUAAUAACAUCUACCGUGCCAAAUAAAUUCACCAUCAAAAUAUAUUCUAUGGUGGAUUCAACGAAACCAAUUUGAUACCAUGGAUGUUAUUAUAUUUUUUUAUAAAGUUGGUCAAAGUUAGACAAGUUUGACUUUGGACAAACCCCA